GACAGAGGGUGCAAACGUUGUUCGGAUUUACUGGGCGUAAAGCGCGUGUAGGCGGCUUUGCAAGUCGGAUGUGAAAGCCCUUGGCUUAACUGAGGAAGUGCAUCCGAAACUGGCAGGCUAGAGUACUAAAGAGGGUCGCGGAAUUCCCGGUGUAGAGGUGAAAUUCGUAGAUAUCGGGAGGAACACCGGUGGCGAAGGCGGCGACCUGGGUAGAUACUGACGCUGAGGUGCGAAAGCGUGGGGAGCAAACAGG
rnacentral:rRNA from 1 species